CUGGCCGUAAACGGUGAACACUAGGUGUUGGAGGCAUCGACCCCUCCAGUGCCGCAGCUAACGCAUUAAGUGUUCCGCCUGGGGAGUACGACCGCAAGGUUGAAACUCAAAGGAAUUGACGGGGGCCCGCACAAGCGGUGGAGCAUGUGGUUUAAUUCGACGCAACGCGAAGAACCUUACCGGGGUUUGACAUGCACGGGACAGGUGUGGAAACACACCCUCCCUUCGGGGUCCGUGCACAGGUGC
rnacentral:rRNA from 1 species